ACUAACGUUCAAACCGGAUUGAAUGCCCUCGUUCUCUUUCGAUCACGAAAGUUAAGCAGUGCUGGGCACGGAGAGCAAUUAUAGAUGGUUGACUGCUUGGGAACUCCGUGUGAUGUUGGGU
rnacentral:rRNA from 1 species